rnacentral:rRNA from 1 species
UACGUAGGGGGCUAGCGUUGUUCGGAAUUACUGGGCGUAAAGCGCACGUAGGCGGUUUGUUAAGUUAGGGGUGAAAUCCCAGGGCUCAACCCUGGAACUGCCUUUAAUACUGGCAAUCUCGAGUCCGAGAGAGGUGAGUGGAAUUCCGAGUGUAGAGGUGAAAUUCGUAGAUAUUCGGAGGAACACCAGUGGCGAAGGCGGCUCACUGGCUCGGUACUGACGCUGAGGUGCGAAAGCGUGGGGAGCAAACAGG